rnacentral:rRNA from 1 species
AGAGUUUGAUCCUGGCUCAGGAUGAACGCUAGCGGCAGGCCUAAUACAUGCAAGCCGAACGGCAAGUCUGAUAGCAAUAUUAGACCUAGAGUGGCGUAAGGGUGCGUAACACGUAUGCAAUCUGCCCGCAACAGGAGGAUAGCUCCCCGAAAGGGGAAUUAACCCUCCAUAGGAUCACACGAAGGCAUCUGAGAGUGAUUAAACCAAAAGGGGUUGCGGAUGAGCAUGCGGUUGAUUAGCUAGUUGGCGGGGUAACGGCCCACCAAGGCGAUGAUCAAUAGGGGAACUGAGAGGUUUAUCCCCCACACUGGCACUGAGAUACGGGCCAGACUCCUACGGGAGGCAGCAGUAGGGAAUAUUGGACAAUGGGCGAGAGCCUGAUCCAGCCAUGCCGCGUGCAGGAAGAAGGCCUUCUGGGUUGUAAACUGCUUUUGCCAGGGGAUAAAAGACCCGUGCGCGGGGAAUUGAAGGUACCUGGUGAAUAAGCCACGGCUAACUACGUGCCAGCAGCCGCGGUAAUACGUAGGUGGCAAGCGUUGUCCGGAUUUAUUGGGUUUAAAGGGUGCGUAGGCGGUUCUAUAAGUCAGUGGUGAAAUACGGCAGCUCAACUGUCGAGGUGCCAUUGAUACUGCAGAACUUGAGUACAGACGAGGUAGGCGGAAUUGACGGUGUAGCGGUGAAAUGCUUAGAUAUCGUCAAGAACACCGAUAGCGAAGGCAGCUUACUAGACUGUAACUGACGCUGAGGCACGAAAGUGUGGGGAUCAAACAGGAUUAGAUACCCUAGUAGUCC